rnacentral:rRNA from 1 species
AAAAUGUCGGUGGUACGCCCGGUCCCUUUCCGAACCCGGAAGCUAAGCCCGAUUGCGCUGAUGGUACUGCACCUGGGAGGGUGUGGGAGAGUAGGU